AAUGAACGUUGGCGACGUGCCUAACACAUGCAAGUCGAGCGCGAAAGUUCUUCGGAAUGAGUAGAGCGGCGAACGGGUGAGUAAUGCGUGAGAAUCUACCUUUUAGUGAAGAAUACCCUUGAGAAAUUAAGGUUAAUACUGCAUACGUCUCGAAAGAGAGAAAGAUGGCCUUGUUGCUGUCGCUAAAAGAUGAGCUUGCGUUCUAUUAGCUAGUUGGUGAGGUAACGGCUCACCAAGGCGACGAUGCGUAGCCGACCUGAGAGGGUGAUCGGCCACACUGGGACUGAGACACGGCCCAGACUCCUACGGGAGGCAGCAGUAGGGAAUCUUCGGCAAUGGGCGAAAGCCUGACCGAGCAACGCCGCGUGAGUGAUGAAGGCUUUCGGGUCGUAAAACUCUGUUGUUAGGGAAGAACAAGUACGAGAGUAACUGCUCGUACCUUGACGGUACCUAACCAGAAAGCCACGGCUAACUACGUGCCAGCCGCCGCGGUAA
rnacentral:rRNA from 1 species